rnacentral:rRNA from 1 species
UACGAAGGGGGCGAGCGUUGUUCGGAUUUACUGGGCGUAAAGGGCGCGUAGGCGGCUAUUCAAGUCAGGCGUGAAAGCCCCGGGCUCAACCUGGGAGGUGCGCUUGGGACUGGGUGGCUGGAGUUCGGGAGAGGAGAGUGGAAUUCCCAGUGUAGAGGUGAAAUUCGUAGAUAUUGGGAAGAACACCGGUGGCGAAGGCGGCUCUCUGGACCGAGACUGACGCUGAGGCGCGAAAGCGUGGGGAGCAAACAGG